rnacentral:rRNA from 1 species
UACGUAGGGUGCAAGCGUUAAUCGGAAUUACUGGGCGUAAAGUGUGCGCAGGCGGUCUUGCAAGACAGAUGUGAAAUCCCCGGGCUUAACCUGGGAACUGCAUUUGUGACUGCAAGGCUGGAGUACGGCAGAGGGGGAUGGAAUUCCGCGUGUAGCAGUGAAAUGCGUAGAUAUGCGGAGGAACACCGAUGGCGAAGGCAAUCCCCUGGGCCUGUACUGACGCUCAUGCACGAAAGCGUGGGGAGCAAACAGG